AUGGUCUCCAGGGCUCAGUUCUUCUGUCUUCUGCUUCUCUGGGCCCAAGAAUCCAUGGGGGCCACAGAGGUGACUCAGUCUGCAGAAUUCGUGAUGGAGUCUCCAGGAGGUAGCGUCACCAUCAACUGCAAACUCAGUUCCAGUAGUUCUGGUAGUUAUGUUGCCUGGUACCAGCAGAAAACAGGGCAAGCUCCAAAGCUCCUAAUCUACAAAGCUUCCACCCGCCCCACUGGGGUCCCUGACCGGUUCAGCGGCCGUGGGUCCGGGACUGAGUACACUUUCACCAUCAGCAAGGUGGAAGUUGAUGAUGCUGCAAACUAUUACUGUCAGUACCAUGGUGGUACACCUCCCACAAUGCUACGGGGGCCAUUGACAGCACUCCCUGAUAACAGAUCAGAAAAUUCACCUGACGUAAUUCACUUUGUGUCGGGCAUGAAACAUAACUGCCACUGA